AGGAAACCCUGUCUAAAGAUCUGCCCCUUAAGCUCUAGUAAGUACAAUUCAUCACGUCUCUUCCCUGUCUAUGGCGGUAGGGUUUUCAUGCAUUGAAGUGUGGCCGCUUGGAAAAGCUUUAAAACACUCGCCGGAAAGACACAGUGGCACAGCACAAUUCAUUUGCGCAUCCUCGCAAAAUAUGUGGCGACACAGUAACUAUUUGCGGGUCACUGGGUUACCGUUAUGUAGUCUACAUCCUCGACGUUCCACUUCCAGGAUUUCUCCGGU